AAAUAAUUAAAAGUGAUAAAUAAAUUUUUAAAUGCACAAAUAAAGUUUUUAGGCUAAGUGAAUGGGUCCUCCAAAACUGAGUGAGCACACUUAACUGCAUAAUAGUAUGUAAUCAGAUAUCAAGUUGGGAAACAUGAUUUAUUGUCAGAAUAUAGACACUUGAACUCCUCAGGUAAGAGGCUUGAGGACAUAAAAUACAUUAGUGGGUAAUAGUAAAAUGUUAAUAACUGCAAAAUGAGUUACUAAAAUUGUUUGCAUAGACCCACUACUGGCUAUUGAACCCAUCUUUUACUAUCAAGUAAAAGAAAUGGGUUCAAUAGCCUUUGUUCAGAUCUCUCUUGAAAAAUUCAGGUAGUAUGGAAGCUGAAUUUGGAAGAAUUGAAUCCAAAUCUUCCAAGAUAAAAAGCAUAGCACAUUUUCAUUACCAUCUAUCCAAUCAACUUUCAAUCUCAGAAGUUUCAUGAUUGUGUUCAGCUUAAAGAAGGAUUAACACUCUGACUAAAAUUAUUGGUAAUGGGUUUUACUUCCUGGUUGUUUUAUUUUCCCUCCUUUACAAUUUAGCAUUUUAAGUUCAAUGGAAGAGAAAAACAAACAUUUAAACUUUCAGACUGUGAAGAGAAAAUUGAGUGAGAGGUAAGAGUUAAGAGAGUUGACACUGUAGCAAGUAGAGCAUAGAAAAGAGGAAAACAAAAAUCUCAUGAAAGGCAGUGAGAGUGUGCCGGAUUUGGUGGGCUCCUAGUUUUUAGUUUGUCGAUGGAUCUCAACAGAUGAUAAUUUCCAUCAUGAUUUGAUUUCCUGAAGAUUUUGUAUAAGUAGAACGGACAGUGUUGGACUUCUAGAAUGCUCUGAGUUGACCAUUUGGACAUUUCUUCUAUGGGAUCUCACAGUCACGCCCCCAUAUUUUGUUUAUUGCAUGUUGUCUCAUUCAUGUCUCUAGAUGAAUGGUUUUUUUUUUAGGCACAUUAUAUUGUAAAUAAACUUAAGUAAAGUUUAUUUACAACUCACCAGUCAUUUACUUGUAUAUAGUAAAUGACUUGUGAGUCCAUAGAAGUGUGAUUUCAACAAAUAAACUAAUUUAAGUCUAUAAGUGGAGUUGACACCACAACACAUCACAAACUUUACUUCUGUAUAAGAAAAUAGAUUGCCAAAUAAUUUAGUAUAGAAAAGUAGCUUGCAUAGUAAAAAAAAAGGUUGAAGAUUACAUGGUCUAUGCCAUUGCAGAUAUGGGUGGUUUAUGGUGUUGUAGAAUAGCUUCACUAUUUAGUAUUCAGCAGAAUGCAGAUUAAUAUAAAUUCUAGAAAGAAAGAAGAAACAUUUAUUUAAAAUGAUAUUCAAAUUACUUUGCCAAAUGUAUGCUCCUUUGACAUAAUAAUACUGUCAAAGAAACAUACUCAUAGAAGAGGCAUAUUCAGGUUUUAAUCCUCUGACAAAAUGAGCAUAGGAAAGGCAAAAAAUUUUGCCAGAAGAAUGUGGCAGAUCACUAGCAGGAAAAAGAAAUAAUCUUUUAGUCAUUUUUUAUGAGAUAAAUGAGACAGAGAUCAAAUUCUAUCUCCAUCCACAGGAAAUAGAAAGAAAGAAAUUAGAAAUGAGAUCAUUAAAUAAGUAUGGGCAGCCUGUUAGAGCAUUGGAAUUCCCUGCCACUUAGUAUUUAAUAGGAUAGAAAGUUGCAUAAAAUUUAAUAGGAAAAAGGACAUUGUAGGACUUUUGCAAGAUCUUCAAUAUCUUAGAUACAAUUAUUCCGUACUCUAGGACAGAAAUUAUUGUCAAAAUGGUGAAAGAUAUCUAGUGGAAAGUUUAUGCUCUGUUUUUGAUAGAUAUUCAGAACUGAGAAUCUAUUCCAGAUUUCAAUCUUAUUAUCCAAUCAAUAAAGAAAACUUAGAUAUAAAAAAAAUUUAAUUUCAUAGUCAAUAAUGUAUAUGCAUUAGAGUUUCUGAACUCCUAAACUCAGAAGCUUAUAUUCAAUGAUCUUAUUGAAAUUCAGAUAUAAAGUAUGUUCGAAGAAUCUAAGAAGCCUCAGCUGUAGGAUCAUAAUGAUUUUAAAAUUGACUAGGAGCUUGAACUUGUUAAAAUUAGCAUCAAGAUUUUUGUGGACCUUUGAUUUGUAUGAACAGAGAUUAACAACAACCCAAAGAACAAAAAGGAUAUUAAUUUACUUGCUAUUAGGAGAUUCUCAGAGAGGAGAGAUCUAUCUUUCGUGAGAUUUCAGUAAUUGAUUUCUUUAGUCAAUCAGUAAACUCUUAU
rnacentral:lncRNA from 1 species